ACGGGUGUAGUUCAGUUGGUAGAACAACGGUCUCCAAAACCGUAGGUCGGGAGUUCGAGCCUCUCCGCCCGUG
rnacentral:tRNA from 1 species